GACGAACGCUGGCGGCGUGCUUAACGCAUGCAAGUCGAGCGGUAAGGCCCUUUCGGGGGUACGACGAGCGGCGAACGGGUGAGUAACACGUGGGUGACCUGCCCUCAGCUCUGGGAUAAGCCUGGGAAACUGGGUCUAAUACUGGAUAUGACUCCACGGUGCAUGUCGUGGGGUGGAAAGCCUUGUGCGGCUGAGGAUGGGCCCGCGGCCUAUCAGCUUGUUGGUGGGGGAUGGCCUACCAAGGCGACGACGGGUAGCCGGCCUGAGAGGGCGACCGGCCACACUGGGACUGAGACACGGCCCAGACUCCUACGGGAGGCAGCAGUGGGGAAUCUUGCGCAAUGGGCGAAAGCCUGACGCAGCGACGCCGCGUGAGGGAUGACGGCCUGGUGUAAC
rnacentral:rRNA from 1 species